rnacentral:rRNA from 1 species
AGAGUUUGAUCAUGGCUCAGGACGAACGCUGGCGGCGUGCUUAACACAUGCAAGUCGAACGAUGAACCACUUCGGUGGGGAUUAGUGGCGAACGGGUGAGUAACACGUGGGCAAUCUGCCCUUCACUCUGGGACAAGCCCUGGAAACGGGGUCUAAUACCGGAUACCACUACCGCAGGCAUCUGUGGUGGUUGAAAGCUCCGGCGGUGAAGGAUGAGCCCGCGGCCUAUCAGCUUGUUGGUGAGGUAAUGGCUCACCAAGGCGACGACGGGUAGCCGGCCUGAGAGGGCGACCGGCCACACUGGGACUGAGACACGGCCCAGACUCCUACGGGAGGCAGCAGUGGGGAAUAUUGCACAAUGGGCGAAAGCCUGAUGCAGCGACGCCGCGUGAGGGAUGACGGCCUUCGGGUUGUAAACCUCUUUCAGCAGGGAAGAAGCGAAAGUGACGGUACCUGCAGAAGAAGCGCCGGCUAACUACGUGCCAGCAGCCGCGGUAAUACGUAGGGCGCAAGCGUUGUCCGGAAUUAUUGGGCGUAAAGAGCUCGUAGGCGGCUUGUCACGUCGGGUGUGAAAGCCCGGGGCUUAACCCCGGGUCUGCAUUCGAUACGGGCUAGCUAGAGUGUGGUAGGGGAGAUCGGAAUUCCUGGUGUAGCGGUGAAAUGCGCAGAUAUCAGGAGGAACACCGGUGGCGAAGGCGGAUCUCUGGGCCAUUACUGACGCUGAGGAGCGAAAGCGUGGGGAGCGAACAGGAUUAGAUACCCUGGUAGUCCACGCCGUAAACGGUGGGAACUAGGUGUUGGCGACAUUCCACGUCGUCGGUGCCGCAGCUAACGCAUUAAGUUCCCCGCCUGGGGAGUACGGCCGCAAGGCUAAAACUCAAAUGAAUUGACGG